UACAUGGGGUGCAAACGUUGCUCGGAAUUAUUGGGCGUAAAGCGCACGUAGGCGGUUCGUUAAGUCGGAUGUGAAAGCCCUCGGCUCAACUGAGGAAGUGCACUACCGAAACUGGCGAGCUAGAGUACUAAAGAGGAUCGCGGAAUUCCCGGUGUAGAGGUGAAAUUCGUAGAUAUCGGGAGGAACACCGGUGGCGAAGGCGGCGAUCUGGGUAGAUACUGACGCUGAGGUGCGAAAGCGUGGGGAGCAAACAGG
rnacentral:rRNA from 1 species